AAACAAAUAAGUAAAUAUGUUCAUUAUUUAUCUUUCAAGAGAUAAUGUAGGUAUACAUUAUAAUAACAUUUUGACACAGUCGAAAUUAUGUUCCUAACAUUAGUAAAAUAACAUUUUAAUAUUUUUUUUAUAGGUUAUGUAUUGAAAUUGUUGGAAAAUUAUUUCAUGUUUUAGCUAGAAAACGACAUGGAGAAUUAUAUGCAAUACAAGAUAAUGAGCUCCAUCAAAUGAAUUCGAAUGAAACCAAACUGUUUACCAUCCAAAUUCGAUUGUCGGGCAGAUAGAAAACGAAAAUUCACUCAUAGUGAACCUCGGCCUGCAUUUGUGAAACGGCAAAGACUCACUAUUAUCAAGGAAAUUGAAGAGACGACUAAAAAUGAGAUGUGUCGUAUUAUUAUACCUUUGCCAUCUUGUAGUCAAGAUGUCCAGCCACUUGAAAAUAGGUGUAGUAAUGACAAAGCUAUCCAAGUAGCUCCAGCACAGGAACACAAAGGCAAGGCAAGUGUGUAUUGCCACAUCACCCCUUAAUAUAUCUGAAGCAAGUAUAAGUAAACAAUCAGAACCAGCAAAAAAAAAACUGUUGUUCCUGAGGACAAAUUUGACAGUGAUGAGUCAAAUGCACCAGCAACAGAAGGAUCAACUGUUGACUAUGAGUUAUCACUCUAUAUCUCCACUCCAUCAAAGACUUGUGCACUUCAGACUAUAGCUCUCAAGAAGACUAAAAAGUUGAAAAAAUGAAUGUGUUAACAACUUUAUCUAAAGUGAAAAAUAAACAACGUUUAUAUAUUGGUCUUGGCUUGAUUGAGAAACAUACAAAUGUUUCUGAACAAAAUAUUAUAUUAUGUCUGAUGAGAAUAACAUUAAAUAGAACAUUCUCUCAAUUGGCUGAUGAUUUCGAUUUAUCUGUAAGUCAAGCAAGCAAUAUAUUUUUCAACAAACUCCAAGAAAUUGCAAAUGUAAUAUCACCCCUUGUUAGACUAUAAAAAAAACAAUACAAUAAAUAUAUAUGCAGGAAGGAUAAUUGAUGUCAACUUGGUGGAAAAUAGAAAGUUUUUAGAUAGUUUGCCACUUACAAAACUCUUUAAUUAAAUAAGUAAUCCUUACUUAUAAAUAGGAAGUUUUGUAAGUAUUUUCACUCUUCAUUCAAAAACUACUGAACAGAUUUUAAUAAGACUUUUAUGCUGGUCUUCUAUGGCUAGCAACUCAUUAUUAUUUUGAUUCUGUUUUCCACAAAUGUGCUAAAUAUGGGCUUAUAUAUAUGAAAAGGAAUAAAUAUUAAUGUUAUGUAACCUUUGUACCUGUAUGUUAAGAAUAAUUUUUAAUAAAACAAUUUAAAUUGAAA